rnacentral:lncRNA from 1 species
AGGUGUCACCGCCCUGCUCCUGCCAGCCAGGCUGGGGACACCCAUGCUCAGAGCCCAGUGCUGGUACCCCCUGAGCCAGCCGGGCCUGAGGGGACACCCCCAUCCCAGGGCAGGCGGAGGGCGGCUCUGACCCUCCUCUUCCUCGCACGGGCAAAGCGGGAAGCAGCUGAUUCCCGAGGAGGGGAGGACGGAUUGCGGCAGCUCUGUCUCUGCCGGCACCAUCCCCGAGGGGACCCCCACAGGACGACUCUUCCCACCCCCUCAGAGCUGUCAGACCGCCGGCAAGAAAAAAAAAAAAAAAAAAAAAAACAAAAAAAGCCUGAAACUUGCAGACAAAGCUGGGAGAAAACCCCAAAACAUCCCAAACGCAGCGACAGCGAAACUCGCAGGGGGCAAGGGGCUGCCUGCACCCCCCUGUCCCAGCCCGGAGGGACCCCCGAGCAGGCUGUGAGCGGCAGGAGCCGUGACAGGCACAGCCCCACGGCACAGCGGCGGCAGAGCCCGUCCUUACCUUGCCGGGCAGGGCGGGCUGGGCUCCGUUCCUGGCCGGCGGGGCUCGUUCAUGGACUCUGGGCAGUCGACACGAACGGAGCCCGGAGCGAGCUGUGCCUGCCCCGCCGAGGCAGCCCGACUUCCCUUUUCCUCUCCGAGAAAUGCAACCACUUCCUUACGUGGGCGUUGGGGGAGCGCGGAGCAGCUCUGCGGCCGCCCUGCCCCUCUGCCUGCGGGCCCGGCCGCUCCGGCUCCGCCGCACCAGGACGCGCCCCGGCCCCGGGAUGCUCCCGCCGCUCGGUGGGACCUGGGCAACUCGCCCUGGGUGCUCCAGGGAAGGACACAGCCAGGAGAACAGAAGGGAAGGAUCCCCGCCGCCUCCCUCUGGCAGCGGGUGCUGCUCACCCCCGGCCCCCGAUGCGUUUCGGAGGGAUGGGGGCUCCCCGAUGCUUGUGCUGGCCCCCACCGGGGAACAGCCGAGCUUGGAGCCCACCCGGGGCGAGACGCUCGUCGGCAUCGCCUCGCACGGCCGGGGAGAGCCGCAGGACCCCGCGGAGCCUGGAUCCGGCCGCCCUCGGCAGCAGCUGCUGCUGGUUCCUGCAUCCCACAGAGCCCAGCGGGACCCAGUGCCAGGCUGGCCGCGGUCACCAUGCCCGUGCCCCCACGCAGCAGACAUCCAGCACUCUGGUUUUAUCACCUCCUGCUUCAGAGCAACUAAUUUUUAUCCCAUUCCUGCCUGGAUGCACUCGAGCCUUCCCUCCUGGGCAUAGGGAUGCACUCACUCAUCCCCCUUCCCUCUCUGCUAUGCCCUGGAUCCCCUGA